rnacentral:rRNA from 1 species
GACGAACGCUGGCGGCGUGCUUCACACAUGCAAGUCGAGCGAGAGGCGAACGGGUGAGUAACGCGUGGUAACCUGCCCCCCUCCCUGGGAUAACAGUUGGAAACGGCUGCUAAUACCGGAUACUUAUAGAUGGAUCAGCGCUGCAUUAGCUAGUUGGUAAGGUAACGGCUUACAAAGGCAACGAUGCAUAGCAGACCUGAGAAGGUGAUCGGCCACACUGGAACUUAGACACGUUCCAUACUCCUACGGGAGGCAGCAGUGGGGAAUAUUGCACAAUGGGCGCAAGCCUGAUGCAGCCAUGCCGCGUGUAUGAAGAAGGCCUUCGGGUUGUAAAGUACUUUCAGCGAGGAGGCGUUACUCGCAGAAGAAGCACCGGCUAACUCCGUGCCAGCAGCCGCGGUAAUUC